CAGACCAUACACGCAGCAUGACCCACUGCUUGCAAAGGCAGUGAUGGCCAGAUGAAGACUGCCAACAUCUACUGGAGUUCCAUUGAGGGUCCUCAUCAUCAGUGGAUGGCACAACAAGUUCCACUCUACACAAUGCGCUAUUGAAGUUGAGAAGCCAUGAAGAUGCUUUUGGCAAAUAGACAUAGCAUCAUCUUCCAGAAGCUGAAAAGGAUGGUGCAGGAAUAUUGGCUGCCAGACCCAGGACAUGCUGGAGAGACUAUGUCUCUCGGCUGGCCUGGGAACGUCUCGGACUCCCCUCGGAAGAGCUGGAGGAAGUGUCUGGGGUGAGGGAAGUCUGGGCAUCUCUGCGACCCAGUAACGGAUAAGCGGUAGAAAAUGGAUGGAUGGAUGUUUGUUUCAUUAUAAAAUGUGAUUAAUUUUCUGUUUUAUCGCAUGUCGCUCUCACCCAAGACAACCGGACACCACACUGCAGAAGUCUGGCUUAUGUGAUUUUGUCCUACCAAAGGAAGGCAAUGUAGAAUCUUAUUUUUUGACAGCGUGUGCAAACCGGCAAAGUUGCCUCAACUUUAUAAUUAAAAGCAAGUUAAUGAAUUUUGCAGGUAACAUAUUUUCACAGAGCACAAUACCUCCAGAGUUAAUUAUGAUGUUCCUUUUCAGAAGUAAAUCAAAGACAAACACAGGACCCUUAAAUUAAUGUAAAUGAGCCCCAACUGUUUGUCUGAGCCAAAACGAAGAACAGAGAUUAGAAGAUUAUUUUUUUCCUAGACAGUGUAAUAACACUGAAACUGAAAAGGCUUCACCCAUGUGUUCAGCUGGACCACGGCAUGGUUUCUUCUAUUCAUGCACAUUCUGAUUUAAAUCUCUUUUUUUUCUUCUAAUGAAAUACUUUCUUGGUUUAAGUCGUUUGCAAUGUCAGCUCAGAAAAAAAUGGUUUGAGGAGGAUAGUGUGUGAUUGUCUUUCUUACAAUGGAGAGCAAAUUAUGAGAAAACCCUUAAGGCCUGUGUUACAGAACAAAUAGAACUCCAUGGUUAUGUAAUGAUUGUUAUCUAAUGAUUCUCUUGUCUGUUUUAGCACAUCUCCAUUUACUGUUCGGAGAUUAAAUGUAAUUUGCCAAUUUUGACUUUAACAACAGAGCAAAGCACCUCUACCUUGUUAGCCUCUGUGUUUCCUGAAACACAGUUUAGUGUCUGCUGAAUAGUUUCACCCUCAUGGGAUACAUUCAGAUUCAUGCUGCUGAUGGAGAAGUCUUCGGUCCCAUAUUUGCCAAACUUCUGAAACUGUAUUCUGAAUAAAAGACACGAGUGUUCAUCAGUUUCAUGUUUUGAAACUGAUCUGAGAUGGUGUCACCUUGUUAUUUUGUGUGGCUUGACACAUUAAGGGUCAUACUGUGCACUGCAGAUGCACUACUGGUCAGACCGCUAUUGCCGCCAUCCUAUUCACCGUGUCCUAGAUCUCUCAUAUAUACUAUAUUCUCUCAGGUAUAUUAUGCUUGAGGCUACUUCCAUGUGGCACAGAUUUAAUUAUCUGCCAUAUUUAGACAUAUUUUGAAUGGGUUUCAGGGACAAAAGGAAUAGAUGGAUUCCCAGUUUUCCAAUGUGAAGCAUAGCUGCAGUGAAAAAAAAGGAUUAGUAUGUCUAUUACUCUAUGGCUUUUGACAGCCCUAAACAGGUCUCUACUUUCAGUAAUUAAAUUAGACUGUCAUAGGCUGCCAACUUUUUGACUAUUGGACAUAAAUACAGAGCACCCUAAAAUCGUAAAAAGAGCUAGCACCUUCACUGACAAAAUUAAGAGACCAUUUUCAAUGUGCAUCAUCCAACUACGUUUACACUUAGACGAAUAUAUGAGGUGCCGAACAUUUCAAAACUUCUGCAAAGCUUCACAGUAAAUAGGGAAAUAAUUUAGCUCGUCGUAUCUGCUCACAGACCAGGCCCAGCAGCAGGUAUUUAUAUCUAAUUCAGGUGGUUUAUGAACUGCUUGAAUCUCAGUUGUGAUGGCUGCACUUCCACCAUAAGCUUCUUACAUGUUGCCAUGUGCACCACCGAGGAUUUAACGGCCACACCACAGAGGAAGUGGCCAGCAGGAACCAUCAUCAUUGUUAAUAGGAACCGGGGACAAUUUAAGUGAACCUGGCGAGGAUCAUGCAGGGGAAGAGAUAAGACACAAUAUCCUAAAAAUUAUGUCACACAAACAUACACACAAAGUCCAAAAGCCUUUGGAAAAUGUGAUUUUCACACCUUCUACAUCCAAGUUGUUUACUUCUAAGGCUCUGAAAUUGAUCUGGAAAACAGAGUAUUACUUAAUUAAACUCUGCUGCAGGUGUUUCACAGAAAACUUUAAUAAUUCUUUUUUUUUUUCAUGAUGGCCCUGUAACACUUUGAUGAUUUAGCCAGCGUAUGGCAACGUAUGAAAAAUGUGUCAAAUACCCUGGUGUGUCGAAUAAGUUAUGGGUAGGUUAUAGAAGUUAAGAGCAAACACUACUUGUAAGUUACUCAUAAAUCAAUAUACAUAGAAAUAAUGUCUAGCAUACCUAAAACACAUUUCUAACUUAUGAGUAACAUGCUUUUAACCCAUGUGUAACUCAUAUUGAACUUAUCUCCAAACAUAUGUAGACAUAUUUGAUGUAUUUGGUACCCAUGUAAAAAUACGGUUCACAGAAGAAACCCGUCAGCAACACCUCAAGACUCUAGAAUGAGAAAUGGAGGAUCCUGCAAGGCUGAGACAAUAGCUGUGUCCCAAUUCAGGGGCUGCGUCCUUCUGAGGACGCGGUCUUCGUAGGCCACGCCUUCAAAGGCCAUACCGAAGGCUGGACGGACGCUAGUGAAAUGAGACGGUCUAGCCUGUGGGGGAUUUCCUGGUUGCGUCACCAGCUGUUCCC